UUAUACCGUGAAACUGCGAAUGGCUCAUUAAAUCAGUUAUCGUUUAUUUGAUAGUACCUUACCACUUGGAUAACCGUGGUAAUUCUAGAGCUAAUACAUGCUAAAAACCCCGACUUCGGAAGGGGUGUGUUUAUUAGAUAAAAAACCAAUGCCCUUCGGGGCUCUUUGGUGAUUCAUGAUAACCUAACGGAUCGCAUGGCCUUGCGCCGGCGACGGUUCAUUCAAAUUUCUGCCCUAUCAACUUUCGAUGGUAAGGUAUUGGCUUACCAUGGUUUCAACGGGUAACGGGGAAUUAGGGUUCGAUUCCGGAGAGGGAGCCUGAGAAACGGCUACCACAUCCAAGGAAGGCAGCAGGCGCGCAAAUUACCCAAUCCCGACACGGGGAGGUAGUGACAAUAAAUACUGAUACAGGGCUCUUUUGGGUCUUGUAAUUGGAAUGAGUACAAUUUAAACCCCUUAACGAGGAACAAUUGGAGGGCAAGUCUGGUGCCAGCAGCCGCGGUAAUUCCAGCUCCAAUAGCGUAUAUUAAAGUUGUUGCAGUUAAAAAGCUCGUAGUUGAAACUUGGGUCUGGCUAGCGGGUCCGCCUCACCGCGUGCACUUGUCCGGCUGGACCUUUCCUUCUGGAGAACCUCAUGCCCUUCACUGGGUGUGUUGGGGAACCAGGACUUUUACUUUGAAAAAAUUAGAGUGUUCAAAGCAGGCCUUUGCUCGAAUACGUUAGCAUGGAAUAAUAGAAUAGGACGUGCGGUCCUAUUUUGUUGGUUUCUAGGAUCGCCGUAAUGAUUAAUAGGGAUAGUCGGGGGCAUCAGUAUUCAAUUGUCAGAGGUGAAAUUCUUGGAUUUAUUGAAGACUAACUACUGCGAAAGCAUUUGCCAAGGAUGUUUUCAUUAAUCAGUGAACGAAAGUUAGGGGAUCGAAGACGAUCAGAUACCGUCGUAGUCUUAACCGUAAACUAUGCCGACUAGGGAUCGGGCGAUGUUUCUAUCUUGACUCGCUCGGCACCUUACGAGAAAUCA
rnacentral:rRNA from 1 species